AAAGACAAAUCAACAAAGUGGGUCAUGUCCCUGGGUCUUUCACUGUUUCAGAGCAUCUUCAUCCUACAGCCGCUAAAGGUGAUCGGCUUUGCUGUGUUCUUUGCUCUGCUGCUGAAACCUGUUGCUAUGGAGGAGACUGAAGAAGUAGAGCAAGUGCUGCUAUCACAACAGGACAAGUGCAGACGCUACACUGGCCGGGACAUUUGAAGAGACACUUGGCAGUUCACUUUUUAAACAUCUUUUUGCACUUAAG